rnacentral:lncRNA from 1 species
UAACUAUUUCCUAAUACACAAAUGACAUGGCGUACAAUGCUUAAACUUCCGUUUGACUAAUUUGCGGGUAUUGUGUAAUAACCUCCAUUAGUCUCGUUUCCUCUCAGCAUGAUCCAUUGACAAAAUCUUUUGGUGCACAUCCAUUAGAGAUCGAGUUUCUUCCAUCAUUUCAUCCAUAAAUAAUCAGCUCACUCGCUCGGCUGCUC